rnacentral:rRNA from 1 species
CACGAACCGUACGAACAUUAUUCGGAAUUACUGGGCUUAAAGGGUUUGUAGGCGGCCAUGUAAGUCAGGUGUGAAAUCCCUCGGCUCAACCGAGGAACGGCGCUUGAUACUGCAUGGCUUGAGGGAGACAGGGGUAAGCGGAACUGAUAGUGGAGCGGUGAAAUGCGUUGAUAUCAAUCAGGAACACCGGUGGCGAAAGCGGCUUACUGGGUCUCUUCUGACGCUGAGGAACGAAAGCUAGGGUAGCGAACGGG